rnacentral:rRNA from 1 species
AUUGAACGCUGGCGGCAUGCUUUACACAUGCAAGUCGAACGGUAACAGGCCGCAAGGUGCUGACGAGUGGCGAACGGGUGAGUAAUGCAUCGGAACGUGCCCAGUCGUGGGGGAUAACGCAGCGAAAGCUGCGCUAAUACCGCAUACGAUCUCUGGAUGAAAGCGGGGGACCGAAAGGCCUCGCGCGAUUGGAGCGGCCGAUGUCAGAUUAGGUAGUUGGUGGGGUAAAGGCCCACCAAGCCAACGAUCUGUAGCUGGUCUGAGAGGACGACCAGCCACACUGGGACUGGGACACGGCCCAGACUCCUACGGGAGGCAGCAGUGGGGAAUUUUGGACAAUGGGCGCAAGCCUGAUCCAGCAAUGCCGCGUGCAGGAAGAAGGCCUUCGGGUUGUAAACUGCUUUUGUACGGAACGAAACGGUCCGGGUUAAUACCCUGGGCUAAUGACGGUACCGUAAGAAUAAGCACCGGCUAACUACGUGCCAGCCGCCGCAGUAAAAC